rnacentral:tRNA from 1 species
GGGCCUAUAGCUCAGCCGGUUAGAGCAUCUGACUCAUAAUCAGAGGGUCCCUGGUUCGAGCCCAGGUGGGCCCACCA